UCUUCUGGCAUUCCAACGUAGGCUCAACUAAGCCUAGAUGAAACAUACGAAUUGCCUUCAACCAUCGAGAACACACUUUUUACAGAGGUUCUGAACAUUUUGCAAUGGGCCGAUACCAAUGAAAGACGAAAUAUCAUGAUCGGCAUGGAUUUCACCACCAUUAGCAUUGACGUAAUGAUGACAAAUUAAAUUAAAACACCCUCGAAACAAACACGGAACUUUAGCAUGCCAUUAUGAUCUUGAUAGUUUUCCUGUUUUCGUCAGUGAAACGUAACGACGGCCUGCUAUACACGCUAAUUUGCAUCAAAUCAAUCGCUUCGCUAGCGCGCGCUACUUCUUAACCCCCUCGGUGCUAAGCUAGUCGACAAAGGUAAAGCGUCGCCGAGAAGGCAUGUCAUUUGAGCAAGUGGGUCGCAGGAGUAACAUCUAGAAUAUUUGAAGCAGGUGAUAUUGGUAUACAGUCUUAUCGCGUUGAGCAAACGCCAACU